rnacentral:lncRNA from 1 species
CUGGGACUGCGCGGGUGCUGCGGUGAGCUUCGGGGUCUGGUAUGGCUGGUGCUUGUGCAGCCACUGCCUCCGGCCUCGGUGAUUGCGAAACUGAGGGGCAGUUGGGUGCAGUGAGACUUGACGUGCCUUUUAAGAGAAGAAAGAUGCGUGAAGACUGUCCUGCACUUGGUGCAUUCAUAUGGUUUUUCUCCAGCAGAAACUUUCUUGUGCAGGAACUGAUGAGAAAGAAAUGAGUUCAUUAAAAACCAAGGGAAGGAAUGAUGCCAUCCUCACCUACUGAGGCCAGGUUCCGGAAGGUCUCCAGCAUCACAUCUCUGUAGAGGUCCCUCUGAGCAGAAUCCAGCAAAGCCCACUCCUCCAGGGUGAAGUCCACAGCCACAUCCUCAAAGACCACUGAGUCCUAAGACAAACCACACAGGUGUGCAGGAGGAUUGGAGACACUGAAAGUACUGGGGAACUGGACUCAAUUCAUAAAUUCAAACAAGAUUCUGUGGUGUCCCAACACCUCCUCUAUGACGCGAAUGUUAGAUCUUUUACUUAUUCACAAUCACUUCCUAGUAAACUUCAUGGCACCACUAUCAGUCUGAACUUAUCUCUGCCUUUUUACUGCGACUGCUCUUAUUUUCCUCUACCAGGAGGGUCUAGAGAAAUGCUAUGCAAAUGAAGUAACUUUUCCAUUUGAAACGUUGCAUAACGCAGCAGGCCUCGGUUGUCCAAACGAUGCACAUUUCAUAGGACUUUCGGAAAAGCCUUCCACCAGCUACUGCAGAAAAUGGAUUCUGUGACUGUAAAAACCAAUGGCCGGGCGCAGUGGCUCACACCUGUCAUCCCAGCACUUUGGGAGGCCGAGGAGGGCGGAUCACGAGGUCAGGAGGUCGAGAUCAUCCUAGCUAUCUCUACUAAAAAUGCAAAAAAUUAGCCGGGCGUGGUGACGGGUGCCUGUAGUCCCAGCUACUGGGGAGGCGGAGCUUCGAGUGCGCGCUACUGCACUCCAGCCUGGGCGACAGAGCAAGACUCCGUCUCAAAAAAAAAAAAAAAAACCAAAAAAAUAACAACAACAAUGAAAUGUGCACGUUAAAUGGCUGUACGUUCUAUAUGUCAGUAAAGCUGGUUUUUAAAAAACAUAAAGAAUGUGAAGUUCACUGUCUUCCUCAAAAACAUGAUACACAAAAUGAAGACGCCCAUGACCUCACCUCUAGUCAACGUUAUACUAGUUCCAGCACCACCAGGAAAUAUACAAGAAUUAUAAAACAUAAACUUGUCUUUUUGCAAAUUUCUAAGAAUUAUGCACAUAAAACCCCAACAGAACAAAGAGAUAAUCCUAGAAAAAGAUUUUUACCAAGAUUCCAAGAAAUUGCAUUAUGUUUCUACUUCAUAAUAGUUGGAAAAUUAAUUUUUAAAAGCUGAUACAUACUAUGGGAAAAUCCAAAGUUAAAUAAGUACUUAAGGCUAGUAAAGGAUUUCAAUGGAGAAACAAAUCUUGAUUGGG